UACGGAGGGUGCGAGCGUUGUCCGGAAUUAUUGGGCGUAAAGAGCUUGUAGGCGGUUUGUCGCGUCUGCCGUGAAAAUCCGAGGCUCAACCUCGGACUUGCGGUGGGUACGGGCAGACUAGAGUGUGGUAGGGGAGACUGGAAUUCCUGGUGUAGCGGUGAAAUGCGCAGAUAUCAGGAGGAACACCGAUGGCGAAGGCAGGUCUCUGGGCCACUACUGACGCUGAGAAGCGAAAGCAUGGGGAGCGAACAGG
rnacentral:rRNA from 1 species